rnacentral:rRNA from 1 species
CCUACGGGAGGCAGCAGUGGGGAAUAUUGCACAAUGGGCGAAAGCCUGAUGCAGCAACGCCGCGUGAGCGAUGAAGGCCUUCGGGUCGUAAAGCUCUUUCCUCAAGGAAGAUAAUGACGGUACUUGAGGAGGAAGCCCCGGCUAACUACGUGCCAGCAGCCGCGGUAAUACGUAGGGGGCUAGCGUUAUCCGGAAUUACUGGGCGUAAAGGGGGCGUAGGGGGUUUCUUAAGUCAGAGGUGAAAGGCUACGGCUCAACCGUAGUAAGCCUUUGAAACUGGGGAACUUGAGUGCAGGAGAGGAGAGUGGAAUUCCUGGUGUAGCGGUGAAAUGCGUAGAUAUUAGGAGGAACACCAGUUGCGAAGGCGGCUCUCGGGACUGUAACUGACGCUGAGGCACGAAAGCGUGGGGAGCAAACAGGAUUAGAUACCCCUGUAGUC